GGAUGCGAUCAUACCAGCACUAACGCACCGGAUCCCAUCAGAACUCCGAAGUUAAGCGUGCUUGGGCGAGAGUAGUACUAGGAUGGGUGACCCCCGUGGGAAGUCNUUAAUUUACAAAAC
rfam:Nicotiana attenuata strain TT chromosome 12, whole genome shotgun sequence.